UGGGGAAUCUUGCGCAAUGGGCGAAAGCCUGACGCAGCAACGCCGCGUGUGUGAUGAAGGUCUUCGGAUCGUAAAGCACUGUCGGCAGGAACGAAGGUUUAUACAGCUAAUAUCUGUAUGGAUUGACGGUACCUGCAAAGGAAGCACCGGCUAACUCUGUGCCAGCAGCCGCGGUAAUACAGAGGGUGCAAGCGUUGUUCGGAAUCAUUGGGCGUAAAGCGCACGUAGGCGGUCUGCUAAGUCGGGUGUGAAAGCCCCGGGCUCAACCCGGGAAGUGCAUUCGAAACUGGCGAACUUGAAUCCUGGAGAGGGUAGUGGAAUUCCGAGUGUAGAGGUGAAAUUCGUAGAUAUUCGGAGGAACACCAGUGGCGAAGGCGACUACCUGGACAGAGAUUGACGCUGAGGUGCGAAAGCGUGGGGAGCAAACA
rnacentral:rRNA from 1 species